UUUCCGUAGGUGAACUUGCGGAAGGAUCAUUAUUGGAUUUUGAAACUUCAGGCCGCUGCUGGCUCUCCUCGGAGGGCAUGUGCACGCUUGUUGUCCAUUAUUUCUCCCACUGUGCACAAAUUGUAGACCUUUCAGUAGGCCUAUGUUGUUUUUCACAAUCUCUGAAUGUAAUAGAAUGGUUUUGAAUCUUGGGAAAUACAAUACAACUUUCAGCAACGGAUCUCUUGGCUCUC
rnacentral:misc_RNA from 1 species